GGCUACAUUUUGAUCUUGUUUAAUACAUAAGUUGUUUAUGGAUAUUAAUUAUGACUAUUAUUAGUAUGGAAAUAUUAAGAAAGGUUAAGGGCAAAAAGAGAAAUUCGUAAAAUGGGCCGUGGUAAUAUUGUGGAAGACUAGGGGCAAAACGGGAAUUUCAUAAGUAUUCAAGAAAAUUCUUGAAUGGACCAAAGUUUAUAUAACAAAACAAAUGGUCAUAUUUAUUUAUUUAUUUUAAGAAAUUUCUAGAGAGGGCAUGUGCCCCUCACAUGCUUAUGAGAAUUAUAAAUAUAUAGGAAUAAAUGGAAGAAAAACCUAGAUAAUUUUCAUCUUUCCCCUUAGAAAAUUCAAGAACCUUGGAGAGGAAAAGAAGAGGCCAUUUCGGCCAAGAUGAGCAAAAAUUAGAGCCCUCAAAUCUUGAUCAAAAAAAUUAUUUCUUCUAGCUAUUCAACCAAUUAAAGGUCCCUCUUUAACAUGGUAUAAUUGUUGGAGCAAGAAAACCGCUCUUUGUCGCAAAAUCGCAACCUUAGCCAAGUCAGAAGUUGAAGGAAAAAGAUUUUGGGGCAUUCGGGGCUUGAAAUUGGAGAAGCGUAAGAAGCGGAAAAGGUACACCCAGGUGAGUAGAAGGCAUUGCUAGAAGAUGUUCCAGUGGGAUUGGCGAGCUCCACUUCCUUCCGGUGUGUUGCCGAGUCUGAGUAUUCAUGAUUAUGGUAUUUCGUCUAUAUUAGAGACUUUGCAGACAGCGUCCUGUGGAUAGGGUGUCGAGGAGUGUAAAUCAUGUAUAUAUGUUAAAAGAGAAUGCAUUUUCAUAUAAUUUUAGUUAGUAAGAAGUACAUAAUUGAUUGAA